UAGACGUGUUUUUAUUAGUUUUCCGUUCGGCUUUUAUUGAGAAUAACAAAAAAGAAUUCGUUUGUAAUCACACAUCGAAUAUUUGGCAAAAAAUAUCGCUGACCUAAUCGACGUUCGUUGAAAGUGUUAAGCGUACUUUAAUUAUAAUAUGUAUUAUAUUAAUAACCAUGUGCCAGUGGCGUGUCAACGAAAUUUUAAUAGAUAUCAAAAUAUGGGUGUAAGACAGUGCAGAUAUAUAUUUAGUAGUGCAAUACGAAUUAUACGU